rnacentral:rRNA from 1 species
UACGGAGGGUGCAAGCGUUAAUCGGAAUUACUGGGCGUAAAGGGUGCGUAGGCGGUUGUUUAAGUCUGUUGUGAAAUCCCCGGGCUCAACCUGGGAAUGGCAAUGGAUACUGGACAGCUAGGAGUGUGUCAGAGGAUGGUGGAAUUCCCGGUGUAGCGGUGGAAAUGCGUAGAGAUCGGAAAGAACACCAACGGCGAAAGCACUCUGCUGGGCCGACACUGACACUGAGAGACGAAAGCUAGGGGAGCGAAUGGG